AUUGAACGCUGGCGGAAUGCUUUACACAUGCAAGUCGAGCGGCCGCGCGGCCUUCGGGCUGGCGGCGAGCGGCGAACGGGUGAGUAAUGCAUCGGAACAUGCCCAGUCGUGGGGGAUAACACUUCGAAAGAAGUGCUAAUACCGCAUACGUCCUGAGGGGGAAAGCGGGGGAUCGCAAGACCUCGCGCGAUUGGAGUGGCCGAUGUCAGAUUAGCUAGUUGGUGGGGUAAAGGCCUACCAAGGCGACGAUCUGUAGCUGGUCUGAGAGGAUGAUCAGCCACACUGGGACUGAGACACGGCCCAGACUCCUACGGGAGGCAGCAGUGGGGAAUUUUGGACAAUGGGGGCAACCCUGAUCCAGCCAUUCCGCGUGAGUGAAGAAGGCCUUCGGGUUGUAAAGCUCUUUCGGCAGGAACGAAACGGUGGGCUCUAACAUAGUCCGCUAAUGACGGUACCUGAAGAAGAAGCACCGGCUAACUACGUG
rnacentral:rRNA from 1 species